GCGCCUGUAGCUCAGUUGGAUAGAGCAUCUGCCUUCUAAGCAGGUUGUCGGGAGUUCGAAUCUCUCCAGGCGCGCCA
rnacentral:tRNA from 5 species